UACAGAGGAGCCAAGCGUUGUCCGGAUUGACUGGGCGUAAAGCGCACGCAGGCGGGUGCGCGCGUGGGGUGUGAAAUCUGGCCGCUUAACGGCCAGGCGCCAUCCCAUACGGCGCGCCUGGAGGGCUGCAGAGGUCGAUGGAAUUGCCGGUGUAGUGGUGAAAUGCGUAGAGAUCGGCAGGAACACCCAGGGGGAAACCAGUCGACUGGGCAGCACCUGACGCUGAGGUGCGAGAGCGUGGGGAGCGAACCGG
rnacentral:rRNA from 1 species